UGCCAGCAGCCGCGGUAAUACGGAGGGUGCAAGCGUUGUUCGGAUUUACUGGGCGUAAAGGGCGUGUAGGCGGAUUGUUAAGCCGGGGGUGAAAGCCCGAGGCCCAACCUCGGAGGGUCUCCCGGAACUGGCAGUCUAGAGAAAGUCAGAGGCAGGUGGAAUUCCAGGUGUAGAGGUGAAAUUCGUAGAGAUCUGGAGGAACACCCGUGGCGAAGGCGGUCUCUUGGUCCUAUACUGACGCUGAGGCUCGAAAGCGUGGGGAGCAAACAGGAUUAGAUA
rnacentral:rRNA from 1 species